GGGAGGUGGGAGCCGAGAGCCGAGGCGGCCGGCUCUGCGGUGAUUGGGGAUCCUCGGGCCCUGCCCGCCGUCUGAGGGGGUCACCUGCGCGGCCGUGCGCUGGAGUCACCGAGGAGUCCCGCCGUGCCGGUGGGCGGGGGAGCGUGUCGAGGAGACUCGCGCAGCCCGGGACAGGCACAGAUGGAAGGUCAGCGCUAGUGAAGCUUUGUGCGCCCGGGGCAGAGGGGUCUUUUUUGGAGUCCUUCUAAAGCUUCACGCUGGCUUCAUCAGACUGUUUCUGCAUUUCUCUUAAUUUGCACUGCAUUCUUCAUAGUCAUUCUCUGGGAUGCUUCUGCUUUGACUUCUGCAGCCUUCCUUCUUUUAAUCCUGUGCCUGGAUGAAGACUAUCAGAUACUACCCCGGUGUGGCUGGGAAAGGAACAUCCAUUCCAUCAGCUCUGCUUCUUGCCUCCUUGCUGGCAGAUCCAGCACCAAGGUAUGAGGAAUGAAGGCAUUUCUACCAGCACAAAGUCAGAUUGUUUUUCUAACAGAUAUGGGAGUCAUAUAGACUGUUAUGUUAGUUUUUAAUAUUGUCUUCAUAGAUAACUUCACUGGGUUUUAUAGAAAUGGAAUAAACUUGGUCCAAAAAGCUUUGACUCCAGUGCACCACAAGUUUGAGUUACAGCUGACUUUCACAUAGUGCUUGUACAUAAUAUCUCUGUUCAUGCACUUGGUAUCAAGUUUAUGGUCAGGAAAGCAGAACAAGGAAGAAUAUGAAACAACUUCUACUGUAGGGACUAGCACUCCCUUGAUCCAUAGUGACCAAACCGAAUCAUAUCAAACAAAACAGUGCUUUUCAGUGACAAUCUUUCUCUGCAUCCAAGUUAAGGAUAAUAGGACUGACCUCUCGUUAAAUACUUUAAUAUGUACUGAUUAAAGAAGCAAGAUGGCCUAUCAGCUGCUGUGAAACUUUGGAGUGAAAUAAUGCUUCAAAACAUAAGUGUUUCAUUUGCUUGAUUGUUCUGAAUAAGUUCUGCUGAGGCAUUAGCAUCCUUGAAAAAAUAUAUGUGAUAAAUCAUUAACUACAAAAUUAAAUUUCACUAUUUUGAACUUAUUUUUCCAUUAGCUCAAACAACUAGUAAACACACAAAAUAUUCUUGAAAGAAAAUGAGUUCUUGGAGAUUUUUACAUUGCACCUAAGAAGCUUGAACUUUAUUUCAGAAGGGACCUGUAAAUUGCAGAUCUCCAGAAUAAAAAUAAGAGAGACUAUUUUUUUUUUUUUCUAUAGCUUUUCUAAAAGUUGUAGUUAAAUCAUCUUAAGGAACAUUUCUACUCAAUUCCAGAAUAAACAGAUCUUGAUGUCUCAGUAUGCUGAGACAUAGGAGGAUUGAAAUAGAAUGAUUAUGUCCCAAGACAAUGAGAUUGGGAUUCAAAGUAUUACACACUUACAAAUGAGUGAUACGAAAGGAGAGCCAUCCUGUUUUCAUCACAAGUCCUGUCUGACCUAAGCCCUUAUAUCUUUAGAAACGGGAGGAAUGAAGUAUAAUCUUCAGGUUCAUUGUGUGGAUUGUUGCUGUGUCUGCUUUGUGAGCUAGAAACAGGUAAAAUCAUAUGCUCUUGAAUAGUAUUUUAACAAGCACAGCUGCAGGGGAAUGUAGGUAGAGUAGCUGGGAGUAAAGAAUCUUGUCCAUUAGAGCUGCUAAGGGGGGAAAUAUCAGGUGGAACAUUUUUAUAAUAAGCUUUUCAUCAUGGCUUUUAUAAAGCCAUAGUAAACAAGCUAAAUAUGAAAUAAAAUCACAGCUGAUGUCAAACUGCUUGUAUAGAAGCUCCUAACAAAUGCAAACCUGAAACGUCUGUACAUGAUUUAGAAACUAACAAAUCCCCCUGAAAGAGUUGCCAUCAGACUUAAACUGUGAAGCAAAUAAAGACAUCCGAGUAGAUUUUCUAAUUGCCUGGAUAGGAUGUAUGGUGUUAAGCAUUCAAAUAUUCAAAGGAAGAACAGUACUUGGUGGGAGCCACAGUGCCUGUGAGAUAGGCAGCAAAUGGCUAUCUGCUGUGAAUAUAUAUUUCAGCGCUAGUUAAAGAUCAAUUCAUGCUAAGGUGGAUGGCUUUGUUUAUUUUUGGAUAUUAAAACUGCACAAUUUCUGACUUAGGUCUGAGAGUGCUGCUUGCAUUGCUUUUCUUUUAUGAUGGUAUUGCUGAUCUAUUUUCCCUGUCUUGAUAAUGGUUACGGAAAUUACCUCUGAUUAGCAGUUGAUUUAACUCAGUGGAAGAAAAAGAUAAAUAUCUGGAGGACUGGAAUAGAAGGAUGGAAAAUCACAGGAACUGACAUUUCCUUUGUACUGUACAAGCAUGCCUUUCCCCUUGUGUGAAGGAAGUCUGGACUUGACAGCCUUGCAGACCUCAGGAACGUAGUGCAGAAUUAAAUCAGACCCUCCAGUAGUCCACAGUUGAAGUUCUGAGAUUGGUCUGAAUUUGAAUACCAAAAUAACAGUGACAUUCUGAUGAGGGACUCAGCCCUUUCUGUCUGUGGAAAGCAUUCAAAAAUAACUUUGUCCAAGAUUUUUAAAUCAAAAAGUAAUAAUUUUGUAAUGACACUUAAUUUUUCUCAAGAUCCAUUGUGAAUGUGCCAUUGCACAAGUCAGCCUUUCUAGUAGUCUUAAAAAUACACUAAGUUUCCCUUGAAACAUUUGGGAAACUUUUGUGGUCUUACUCUAACAAAAGGUGGCAAAAUACCUCUAAGCACUUUGACUUUAAACAAUGAAGUCAGAAAAGAAGUUAUGUAUGGUUUAUUGCAGAUUUAUGUAUGUUUUAAUGAUUUAUAUUUUCAGAAUGUUAUGAUGG
ensembl:lncRNA